rnacentral:tRNA from 1 species
AUUCAAUUAGUUUAAUAAAAAUAUUAAAUUGUGAUUUUAAAGAUAAAGAAAAUUUAUUGGAUA